rnacentral:rRNA from 1 species
AGUGAACGCUGGCGGUAGGCCUAACACAUGCAAGUCGAACGGCCUCACAGUAAUUGCUUGCUCUUACGGGUGGCGAGUGUCGGACGGUGGCUGUAUACUUCGGAAUCUACUUUUUCGUGGGGGCUAACGUAGGGAAACUUCCUCUAAUACCGCAUACGACCUACGUGUGAACGCCGGGGAUCUUCGGACCUUUCGCGAUUGUAUGAGCCGAUGUCGGAUUAGCUAGUUGGCGGGUUAAAGGCCCACCAAGGCGACGAUCCGUAGCUGGUCUGAGAGGAUGAUCCGCCACCCUGGAACUGAGACACGGUACAGACUCCUACGGGAGGCAGCAGUGGGGAAUAUUGGACGAUGGGCGCAAGCCUGAUCCAGCCAUACCGCGUGAGUGAAGAAGGCCUUCGGGUUGUAAAGCCCUUUUGUUGGGAAAGAAAAGCAGCAGGUUAAUACCCCGCGAUUCUGACGGUACCCAAAGAAUAAGCACCGGCUAACUUCGUG